rnacentral:rRNA from 1 species
UGGGCAACCUGCCCCUAGCUCUGGGAUAACUCCGGGAAACCGGGGCUAAUACCGGAUAUGACCACGGUGGACAUCCACUGUGGUGGAAAGCUCCGACGGCUAGGGAUGGGCCCGCGGCCUAUCAGCUUGUUGGUGGGGUAACGGCCCACCAAGGCGACGACGGGUAGCCGGCCUGAGAGGGUGACCGGCCACACUGGGACUGAGACACGGCCCAGACUCCUACGGGAGGCA